AUCCAGGAAGGGGAUGUCUGUGUCUCCGUCUGUCCCAACCAAAACUGUAUCUCUGUUGUUCAGCAGAUGCUUAAGAACCAUCUUUCAAAUGGACAAAGGACCCUUUAUUUGAGAAAAUUAAGUUUGUCCAGUAAACAAUAUUCAUUGAGGAGAUUCUUCAUAGAUAGCACAUACGGUCAUAAAAGGAGAACCAGCUCAUUUUAACUUGGAGGUAAAAGCCCUUACUUGGGAAUUCUCAUUAACAUCUCCCUCCCUGUUUUAAGUUUUAAGCAUUGUAUUAUUGGAUACACACAGGAAGUCUGACCCUCCUUUCUUGGACAUGG
rnacentral:lncRNA from 1 species